rnacentral:misc_RNA from 1 species
UUAUAUCGCUCCUCUACUCCGUAGGGAAUAAAAGAGCGGAUCUGGCUGUUCCAGCGAGUUGGUGCUUGCACCUAUUCACGAGCUGGAUCAGCUGAAGAACAGAGGUUAGCUCAAGGACCCGUUAAGGGCCGCAACUGGGUAGGCAGCUCACGCUUGCUAUUUCUAGUUGUUGGCUUGGAUCUUUGGCUUGACCCUCAAACAGGAACCCUUUAUUU